rnacentral:rRNA from 1 species
CCUACGGGGGGCAGCAGUGGGGAAUAUUGCACAAUGGGCGCAAGCCUGAUGCAGCCAUGCCGCCUGUGUGAAGAAGGCCUUCGGGUUGUAAAGCACUUUCAGCGGGGAGGAAGGCGUUAAGGUUAAUAACCUUGGCGAUUGACGUUACCCGCAGAAGAAGCACCGGCUAACUCCGUGCCAGCAGCCGCGGUAAUACGGAGGGUGCAAGCGUUAAUCGGAAUUACUGGGCGUAAAACGCACGCAGGCGGUCUGUCAAGUCGGAUGUGAAAUCCCCGGGCUCAACCUGGGAACUGCAUUCGAAACUGGCAGGCUAGAGUCUUGUAGAGGGGGGUAGAAUUCCAGGUGUAGCGGUGAAAUGCGUAGAGAUCUGGAGGAAUACCGGUGGCGAAGGCGGCCCCCUGGACAAAGACUGACGCUCAGGUGCGAAAGCGUGGGGAGCAAACAGGAUUAGAUACCCUAGUAGUC